CCAAUAGCGUAUAUUAAAGUUGUUGCAGUUAAAAAGCUCGUAGUUGAAUUUCGGGAUCAAUAUAUCGGUCGUGCCAUCGGUACGUACUGGUAUGAUUGGUUUCUCCUUUCUGACGAACCAUGAUGUCAUUAAUUUGGUGUUAUGGGAAGUUAGGACUGUUACUUUGAAAAAAUUAGAGUGUUUAAAGCAGGCUUUAGCUU
rnacentral:rRNA from 1 species